rnacentral:rRNA from 1 species
AGUAAUUAUUUAUUAAAAUUUUAAAUUAAUUAAUAAAUUAAAUAAAAAAAUUAUAUUUUUAUUAUAAAUUAAGAAAAAAUUUUUUUAAUUAUAGUUAAUAGUAUUGAGAAAGAACAUUUUUAUUUAUAAAAAAGAAAAAUUAAAUUUUUGUACCUUGUGCAUCAGGGUUGAUUAAAAAAAAAUUUAAUAUUAAAUAUUCUCGAAUUUAAAAGAGCUAAUUAAUUAUAAAUUUUAUUGUGAAAUAAAUAUUUAAAAUAUUUAAUUAGAAAUGAAACGUUAUUCGUUUUUAAAUUUAUCUAGUUUUUAAAUAAAUAAAUUUAAUUUAGCUAUUUUUUAGUAAAAAUUUAAUUUUUUAAAUUUUUAUAAAAAAUAAGUAAUUUUUUUGGGGAAAAGCUUGAGAAAAGAAAAUUAUAAUAAAAUAAAAAUUUUAAUAAAUUAUAGGAUUAUAAAUUUCUAUUAAUAAAAAAAUGUUAUAAUUGAUUAUUAAAAUAAUAUUAUUUUUAUUUUAUUUAAAUUUUUUAUUUAAAUAUAUUUUUGAAUAAAAGAAAUUUAGCAAUAAUGAUUAAAUUAGUAUAAAUUAAUGUAUAUUUAGAUAUUUAAUAAAGGUAAGUUUAAGGAACUCGGCAAAUAUAUUUUUCACCUGUUUAUUAAAAACAUGUCCUUUUGAUAAUAAUUUAAGGUCUAAUCUGCCCACUGAGAAUUUAAAUGGCCGCGGUAUUUUGACCGUGCAAAGGUAGCAUAAUAAUUAGUUUCUUAAUUAGAAGCUGGAAUGAAAGAUUGAAUGAGAAAAUAACUGUCUCAAAUUUAUUUAAUUAGAAUUUUAUUUUUAAGUUAAAAAGCUUAAAUGAUUUUAAAAGACGAGAAGACCCUAUAGAGUUUUAUUUAAUUUUUUAUUAAGAAAAAAUUGUUUUUAAUUUUUUUAAUGAGGGGUUAAAUUUUGUUGGGGUGAUAGAAAAAUUUAAUAAACUUUUUUUAUAUUUUAACAUAAAUUUAUGAUUAAUUGAUCCAAAAUUUUUGAUUAUAAGAUUAAAUUACCUUAGGGAUAACAGCGUAAUUUUUUUUGAGAGUUCUUAUCGAAAAAAAAGAUUGCGACCUCGAUGUUGGAUUAAAGUUAAAUUUUGGUGUAGAAGCUAAAAAUUUAGGUCUGUUCGACCUUUAAAACUUUACAUGAUCUGAGUUUAAACCGGUGUAAGCCAGGUUGGUUUCUAUCUUUAAAUAAAUAAAAUAUUUUAGUACGAAAGGACCAAAUAUUUAUUAUAAUAAUUUAUAUUGAAUAAUAAUAAAUU